GACCGGAGUGGACGAACCUCUGGUGUUCCGGUUGUCACGCCAGUGGCAUUGCCGGGUAGCUAUGUUCGGAAAAGAUAACCGCUGAAAGCAUCUAAGCGGGAAACUUGCCUCAAGAUGAGAUCUCACUGGGAACUUGAUUCCCCUGAAGGGCCGUCGAAGACUACGACGUUGAUAGGCUGGGUGUGUAAGCGUUGUGAGGCGUUGAGCUAACCAGUACUAAUUGCCCGUGAGGCUUGACCAUAUAACACCCAAACA
rnacentral:rRNA from 1 species